rnacentral:rRNA from 1 species
UACGUAGGGGGCUAGCGUUGUCCGGAAUCAUUGGGCGUAAAGCGCACGUAGGCGGAUUGCUAAGUCAGGGGUGAAAUCCUGGAGCUCAACUCCAGAACUGCCUUUGAUACUGGCGACCUUGAGUCCGGGAGAGGUGAGUGGAACUGCGAGUGUAGAGGUGAAAUUCGUAGAUAUUCGCAAGAACACCAGUGGCGAAGGCGGCUCACUGGCCCGGUACUGACGCUGAGGUGCGAAAGCGUGGGGAGCAAACAGG